rnacentral:rRNA from 1 species
UACGGGGGGGCAAGCGUUGUUCGGAUUUCCUGGGCGUAAAGGGCGCGUAGGCGGCCUGUGCAAGUCAGUUGUGAAAUCUCCGGGCUUAACUCGGAACGGUCAACUGAUACUGCUCGGCUAGAGUGCGGAAGGGGCAACUGGAAUUCUUGGUGUAGCGGUGAAAUGCGUAGAUAUCAAGAGGAACACCUGCGGCGAAGGCGGGUUGCUGGGCCGACACUGACGCUGAAGUGCGAAAGCUAGGGGAGCGAACGGG